CUAUUGUUCUUAAUAUGGCUUUAUUUAGUACACGUACCAUAUUUCCAUUUGAAUGCAUAAAUUGUGUUGACACUUGACUCAAUCUGCAAGGGCAUAUAUACAAAAGUGAGCUCUCAGCACUUCCUGUAUUAAAAAUGCCCUCAGCAGCAUAGUGUAAUUUUGGCUAGACAACCAUUUAGCUUUCAUUCUCUGGUCAACAAGUUUGCUUUUAAGAACCUUGACAACAGAAGCAGGCAGGCACUCAUGUCUGUUUGCAGCACUCCUCUGAAAGAUGCAUCACAGUCUGGCAGGCAAACAGGGCAGAGAGCCUGGCAUUACAGCUUCUCUGUUCACAACCAAAUGUAGCUCCAGGCUAUAGAGAAGCUGAGGCCAUUAAUAUUGGCUUCCCUACUAGGCAUUUAUGUAAACUGACAACUGACAGUGGACAGACCUUCUGUAUAGUAAUCACUUAUUCCCUCUAAAAUUUCAUUAAAACUAUAAAAUGCAAUAAUAGUGGUGUUCUCAUAUUUGAAGUGGCACGCUUUCUUUUUUGUUUUGUUUAUGUGAGCAGAUAAUCUACUUUGUGCAGAGAUGUGUUGCUUGUGGCCUGUGCAAAAAUAUGGCAUCCAGGGACCUUAUUUUUUUUAAGAUGUAGAAUGGCUUUGUAAACUAUGUAUUACCAGUAUUAUUUUUAAUUUGCUCUUGGCAACUGAAUUUUCUUUUCUGCAGCAGAGGAUAAUGAAAUGAGAUGGAUUUGCUGGAAUCUUGUUUAUUUAAAAAAAUAAUCACAAUGGCAAUUUACAUAUGUUUUACUGCUGCAUCUAGAGUUUGAAUAUUUACCAUAACUGGAUUAGAUUCUAGUUAUGUGCAGAACUGACUGGAAAAUAAACUGGCAUCCUGAUUUGCAUUCAUUCUGCAUCAGUGGUUCCUCUGUCAAAUUUGUUCACUGUGGAAGAUUUGGCCAAGAGCUGUGUCUGUGUAUUACCUGCUACUGCAGGCAAAAGUCUGAAGUAUGUGUUGAACCCAAUCCCUGACAUAUAUAAGAAAUGACAUACUGCUGUACAGAGAAUAGGAAUAUUGGAAUUAAAAUUUACUUAGUGUUCAGUCAGAAGGCGUCUGUUUUUCUUAUUUUUUUUCUUUCUUUUCUUUCAGCGCCUAGAUAGCCAAGAGCAGAUCUACAUAGCGUGAAGAAGACACAGCACCAAGAGGAGAAACCCCAAAUUGUCACUGGUCUCUGCAAAUGGAUUUCAACAAUAAGCAGAUACUUGUGGUCCUCCUUCUCUGUUUUUCCUUUUACAAAAUUCUGCCUCCUUUUGUUCCCCAUUAAAACUGACAGAGAAGUCAGCAGACAGAGAACUUCAGAAAAUCUCCUUGAAAAAGGAACGGAAACAUGAGGCAGAAACCCACGGUGUCCUAAGAAGGUUGCCUGCUGAGGGGAAAAAAAAAAAAAAAAAAGAAGUGGUGGGAGACCUUGAAAGCAAAAUCAUGAAGGGAAAUGUGCUUUGUCCCAAUGGCAGAAGUCACAGCCCAGUCUCUUCUGUUACUGAAUCUGUUGGAUGCAGUGCAGAUGCCACAUAACCAGAUGAAUUUUGAAUCACAGAAUGGCCCGGCUUGGAAGGGACCUCAAGAUCAUGAAUCUCCAACCCCCUUGCCACAAGCAGGGCCACCAACCUCCCGAUUUAAUACUACACCAGGUUCCCCAGGAUCCCAUCCACCCCGGCCUUGAACAUCUCCAGGGAUGGGGCAUCCACACGGUUUCAA